GCCGGCGUUUCCUUCCGGUCUUCUUCGCCGCGGUUGCCCCUCGCAUACCUUUGACUACCUUUGGCGAGUGAGGAGGCUCCUUGCCCAGUGUGGGGCUUGAAUUCAUGACCCUGAGAUCAAGAGUCAAAUGCUCUAUGAGCCAGCCAGUCCAAGCACAAAUGUGGAUCACUGAAGACAGUACUGGAAGCGCCAGUUGCAGGUACAUUGCAGUUAUCAUUAAAUGAGCCAGAAGGUAGAAAAACUUUUUAUUUUAUGGGGGGACUUGACUGGGCAGUACUAGUAGGAGAUGAAA